AGUAAUGCAUCGGAACGUGCCCAGUCGUGGGGGAUAACUGCUCGAAAGAGCAGCUAAUACCGCAUACGACCUGAGGGUGAAAGCGGGGGACCGUAAGGCCUCGCGCGAUUGGAGCGGCCGAUGUCAGAUUAGGUAGUUGGUGGGGUAAAGGCCCACCAAGCCAACGAUCUGUAGCUGGUCUGAGAGGACGACCAGCCACACUGGGACUGAGACACGGCCCAGACUCCUACGGGAGGCAGCAGUGGGGAAUUUUGGACAAUGGGCGCAAGCUUGAUCCAGCAAUGCCGCGUGCAGGAAGGAGGCCUUCGGGUUGUAAACUGCUUUUGUACGGAACGAAACGGUCUGGGUUAAUACCCUGGGCUAAUGACGGUACCGUAAGAAUAAGCACCGGCUA
rnacentral:rRNA from 1 species